ACACAUGGCAGUAAAAAAAACAGACUGCAGUAAAAUAAACAGACCCUCAGAAAUCUAUGGGACAAGCUUAAGCACAGAAACAACAACAUCAGGGGAAUGUUGGAAGGAGAGAAGAGAAAGGGACCCUAUUUGAAAAAAUAAUGGCCAAAACUUCCAAAAUUUGAUUUUUUAGAAAAUUAAUCUAUACACCCAAGAAGCUGAAAGAAACCCAAGCAGGAUAAACACAAAUAGAUCCACACUUUAACACAGCAUUGUCAAACUAUUGAACACAAAUCCAAAGAGAAAAUCUUGAAAGCAGCAAGAAUAGCAGUCAUCACAGAAAGGUGAGCAUCUAGGUAAUUAAGCUGGCUUCUCAUCUAAAACCAUGGAUGCCAGAAGGCAGAAGAAUGGCACAUCCAUAGUGCAGAAAGAAAAUAAUGUCAAAGAAGAAUUCUGUAUCUAACAGAACUAUCCUUCAAAAAUGAGGGCAAAAUAAGGACAUUUUCAGAUUAAUAAA